rnacentral:rRNA from 1 species
UACGUAGGGUGCGAGCGUUGUCCGGAAUUAUUGGGCGUAAAGAGCUCGUAGGCGGUUUUGUUGCGUCUAUCGUGAAAACCUGCGGCUUAACUGUGGGCUUGCGGUGGAUACGGGCAGACUUGAGUUCGGUAGGGGAGACUGGAAUUCCUGGUGUAGCGGUGAAAUGCGCAGAGUAUCAGGAGGAACACCGGUGGCGAAGGCGGGUCUCUGGGCCGAUACUGACGCUGAGGAGCGAAAGCGUGGGAGCGAACAGG